rnacentral:lncRNA from 1 species
GAAGGCUGUGAUUGGGAUGUAAAGUGAGUUAAUUAAUUAAUUAAUUAAUUAAUGGGUAAAAAGGAAAGAAGGUGAAUGAUUUCUGGGGAAUAACAUGGCAAGUUGUUUCAUGAUAUGCACUUCUGUACACGUGUGUACUCACACACAUGAACAUGUACAUACACAAAUAGAAUAAAUUGUCUUACGUUGUGUUUGCCUUUAACCUUCCAGCAGUAUGCAAGCUGCCUCUCAUCUCUGGCUGCUCAGAACACUGCCAGGGCAUCCUCACUGUUCAACAAAUAACUGUCAAAGGCACAAUGGGCUCGUUGAGUAAGCUGCACCCAUUAAGAUGUUUUGGGCCACAAGCGGACUCCUGACUGGAAGAGUUUAAGUAAUGGGAGUUCUGGCUUCUGUGAAUAGCGGCAGGUCACAGGAAAUGGAAGCAAGGCCCAUCAGACCCAAGUGGACCAGAAAGACACUCUCUUCACCCGAGGAGCCCGAGAAAGUCACCUCAGCUCCACUCAGCUCUAAAUGUGAAUGGAAAAUUUCCUUCAGCUUCUUCAAAGUCUGCCUCCUCCCCUCCUUCUCCGUGCUCUGAGGAUUCAUCUUCCUGAAUCAAGGCCGAUUCCCUUGGCCCUCUGCUUUCCCAUGGCUACCUCCAUGCUAAGUAGCAUCCAUCAGUCUUGCUACUGGAGUGUCUCCAACAGCUCUGCCUGGUUUCUCCUGGCUCUGGACCCUAAUCCUGCUCACCCUCUCAGUCCCAGCGUGAUAAAGACUCCCCACCAGUUGUAG